CCUGCUCAGCUUGCUGGCUACACAAAGAUAAAGACAUUUACAGGGUCUAGUUUGAGGCACUAAGGAGGAUAAUGCAUCCGUUUGAAAAGAGUCCUUAUAAGAGAAACAUGGAUUCUGCUAAAAUUCAAGCAAGAACAGACAUCACAUUUGUGGUGAAGCUUGGGUGGAAGAAUGGUAACAUCACUGAUGCUUUACAAAAAGUUUAUGGAGAAAAUUCUUCAAGUGAUAAUUUUACAAAUGAAUAACUUGUUUUAGGAAAGGACAGGGCCGUGUGAGGUGGCUCACGCUUAUAAUCCCAGCACUUUGAGAGGCCAAGGAUGAUUGCUUGAGGCCAAGAGUUUGAGACCAGCUUAGGCAACAAAGUGAGACCCUUUCUCUACAAAAAAUAGAACAUUUACCUGGGUGCGGUGGUGCAUGCCUACAGUCUGAGCUACUUGGGAGGCUGAGGCAGGAGGAUUGCUUAAGCCCAGGAGUUUGAGCCUGCAGAGAGUUACAAUGGUGCUACUGCACUCCGACAUGGGUGACAGAGUGAGACCCUGUCUCUUAAAAGGAAAAGGAAAAGAAAGGACAACAUUGUUGAAGAUGAAGCCUGCAGCAGCAGACUAUCCACAUCAAUUUGCAAGGAAAAAAUUUUCUUGUUCAUACCCUAAUCAACAAUACAAACAAUAGAAAAUUAACAGCACAAACAAUAGCCAACAUUCUCGACAUUUCAACUGGUUCAGUUUACACAAUUCUGACUAAAAAAUUAAAGUUGAACAAGCUUCCCGCUCAAUGGGUACCAAAACAGUUGUGCCUGGGUCAGCUGUGGACAAAAGCCGAGCUUUCCGUGGAAAUUUUAAAUACAUAGGAUCAAGAUCCUGAAGCAUUUCUUCAGACUAGUAACGGGAGAUGAAACAUGGCUUUACCAGUAUGGUCCUGAAGACAAGGCACAAUCAAAGCAAUGGCUACCAAGAGGUGAACGUGGUGCAGUCAAAGCAAAAGACGAUGGGUCAAGAGCUGAGGUUAUGGCAACAGUUUUUUGGGAUGCUCAAGGCAUUUUGCUUGUUGAUGUUCUGGACAAUAACAUCUGACUAUUAUGAGAGCAUUUUGAGAAAGCUAGCAAAAGUUUUAGCAGAAAAACUCCUGGAAGAGCUUCACCAGAGAGUCUUUCUCUACCAUGACAAUGCUGCUGCUCAUUCCUCUCAGCAAACAAGGUCAAUCUUGCAAGAGUUUUGAUGAGACAUCAUUAGGUGCCUAUCCUCCAGUCCUGAUUUGGCUCCAUCUGACUUCUUUCUGUUUUCUAUUCUUAAAAAAAUCUUUAAAGAUCACCCAUUUUUCCUCAGUUAAUAACAUAGAAAAGACAACAUGAACAUGGUUAAAUUCCCAGGACCCUCAGUUCUUUAGGGAUGGACAAAAUGGUUGGUAUCAUCACUUAGAAAAGUAUCUUGAACUUGAUGAAGCUUAUGUUGGGAAAUAAAGUUUAUAUUAUUUAUUUAUUUAUUUAUUUAUUUAUUUAUUUAUUUAUUUAAGACAGAGUCUGGCUCUGUCGGCCAGGCUGGAAUGCAGUGGCACGAUCUUGGCUCACUGCAAUCUCCACCUCCUGGGCACAAAUGAUUCUUGUGCCUCAGCCUCCCGAGAAGCUGGGAUUACAGGCACACACCACCACACCUGGCUAAUUUUUGUAUUUUUAGUAGAGAUGGGGUUUCACCAUGUUGGCCAGGCUGGUAUUUUUAUCUUUUAAUUCUUUUUUUUUUUUUUUUUUGAGACGGAGUCUUGCUCUGUCGUUUAGGCUGGACUGCAGUGGCAUGAUCUUGGCUCACUGCAACAUCUGCCUCCCAGGUUCAAGUGAUUCUCCUACAUCAGCAUCCUGAGUAGCUGGGAUUACAGGUGUGCACCAUCAUGCCUGGCUAAUUUUUGUAUUUUUAGUAGAGACCGGGUCUCACCUUGUUGGCCAGGCUGGUCUUGAACUCCUGACCUUAGGUAAUCCUCCUGCCUUGGCCUCCCAAAGUGCUAGGAUUACAGGCGUGAGUCACCGUGCCUGGCCCCCAUGACCUUUUCGAAGUCCCCUAGUAUGCCUUUACACCCAUUUCUAGAAUGAUUCCCAACAUUCCUUCAUUUAUUCCUUUAUUUAUUGAAUAAAUAAUUAUUAAAUGCUUGUCAUGUAUGUUCCAGGCUUUGCUCUAGUAAUUUCGGAUAUAUCAAUGAACAAAGCAGGAAAGAAAAAAAAAAAAGGCAAAAUCUCUGCCUUCCGGGAGCUCACAUUCCCACAGGAGUCACAGGAAACAGCCAAUGACCAGUAAGCAUCACAAAGAAGUCAUGCCAAAGAACCAGACAAAUAGCUGGAAGGAAGAGGGGAACUCCUUUGUGACGCCAAAUGGGCCAAAGGGUCGCUGGGAAAACUAAGCCUUACUGUCCAUCUUGCCUUCAGGAUAAUGUGAAAUAUGGCCUAAUUUUUGAAGUUUUUUUCUUAGAAAUUUUACUGAAUCCAAAAUAAAACAAGAAGAUCAUGGUGGAUAUAGCUUCCAAAUUUAUUCUGCAAUAAAACAGAUGGCAGUAGAGUUAAAGAAAAAAAUCCCAGCAGUUCUUUGUACAGGGAUUUGGUGAUUUUUCCCAUAAAGCUGCGAUGAGGAUGAACUCAGAGCAAAAUCUAUGGGGAGUUUUAUACCUGGUAUACUAUUUGUAGCCUUCGUAGAGGGUUCUCCAUUCUAGUCACACCGAUUUCCUCUCUGCUGCAGACAUUGGACACUGGCCUAGUGUUCCAGAAGCUCUGAGUUCAGAGUCCUCAUGUACUAAUGCCAGCAACAGUCAGUUUCACAGUGCCUCUGGCCAGCUGCACUCUUAUGCAACUCAACAAUUUCUCACCUUUUCUCCUUUUAAAAACAAUAUAAGCAACAAAACCACCCAGCUCCCACUGCUGCAUAACCCAGAAGUAUUGGAAAGAUCACUUCAUACAAUUCUUGAGGCAAUCCUGCAGGAUCAAGCAAUUAGGUCCUUGGAGUGGUGGCCAGCUCAUCAAAGCCUCUUUGUACUGGUGCUUCCCCUGAUCCUGUUUUGUUCCCUUGUCCCUCUUUCCUGCUCCUAGCUAGGAUCACAC
rnacentral:lncRNA from 10 species